rnacentral:rRNA from 1 species
GACGAACGCUGGCGGCGUGCUUAACACAUGCAAGUCGAACGGAAAGGCCCUGUUUUGGUUGGGUGCUCGAGUGGCGAACGGGUGAGUAACACGUGAGUAACCUGCCCUUUAGUGUGGGAUAACUUCAGGAAACGGGUGCUAAUACCUGAUAGGUGCUCCUGCUGCAUGGUGGGGGUUGGAAAUCUUGGGCGGUUGGGGCUGGACUCGCGGCUUAUGAGCUGGUUGGUGGGGGAGUGGCCUACCAAGGCUUUGGCGGGUAGCCGGCCUGAGAGGUUGACCGGCCCCCUUGCGACUACGGUACGGAGCAGACGCCAACGGUGGACAGUAGUGGCGAAUCUUGCCCAGUGAGGCGACGCCUGAUGCAGCAACCCCCCGUUCGGAAUGACGGCCUUCGCGUUAUGAACCCCUUUCGCCUGUGACGACGCGUGAAUGACGGUACCGGGUAAAGAAGCACCGGCUAACUACGUG